rnacentral:lncRNA from 1 species
CCUUAAGAAAAAGAGGAAAGUGAUCAGGUCGCAAGUGGCGCGCUUCACCAACGACGCAGACAAGAUCCUGAAGAGCGUUUCUGCCGUCGACCUCGAAGAGGGAGGUGCCAGUUCGACCGCUUUAAAUUGAAUGACGGCCAGAGAGUGUACAAAAUAGGGACCUGCACGAGAUGGACAUGUUACCGGAAGAACAGCACUCACGGCGUAAUAGAGGGUGUAUCCUGCGGGGUUGUGGAGGCAACGCCACCCUGCCAAUAUAUACCUGUAAGACCAGGCGUAUACCCGGACUGCUGUCCAAAAGCAGAGUGUCCAGAGAAUACAACAAAUGAAGAAAC